rnacentral:lncRNA from 1 species
GCAAAAAAGGAAGAAAAUGGCUGAGAACCAGCAGCUGAAGAAAGCAAGAAAAUGUGAAUGAAGUCACAAAUGCCACCAAGGAAAAGCAGAACAGAAAAAUAACUUGAGUAUUCAAGAUGGGCAGACUAGUUCAAAGACUCAUCAAGCCUUGUGAAGGGGUGACUCCGAGGAGUUUACCUUCGGGCAGCUCAUACACCAGCUGUCAAUCUGUCCUCACCCUGAGACAGCAAGCCAAGCUCAGGUGUGUAGCGGCUCCACCAGAAAAGAGUAUUGGCCUUCUUUCCCCCAGUGAACAGCUGUAGCCAAAAUGCAGCCCCUGGCACUCCAGCUGUACUGUCACAAGGCGGGGCUAGGAAGGCUCUAAUUCUUGCCUCCCAGAUCACAUACUUUACAACUGAAGAGCAUCUCAGUUUUGCUCUUUAUCCUAUUUUAACCUUUGCCAACUCCUGGUCCUUCACUAAAGCAUUUAAAACAGCAACUGUAAAAAGCCUUGACACUUCAAAUGUCCAUCAGC